AUCAUGGCUCAGGACGAACGCUGGCGGCGCGCCUAACACAUGCAAGUCGAACGAGAGAGAAGGAGCUUGCUUCUUCGAUCGAGUGGCGAACGGGUGAGUAACGCGUGAGGAACCUGCCUCAAAGAGGGGGACAACAGUUGGAAACGACUGCUAAUACCGCAUAAGCCCACGGGUCGGCAUCGACCUGAGGGAAAAGGAGCAAUCCGCUUUGAGAUGGCCUCGCGUCCGAUUAGCUUAGG
rnacentral:rRNA from 1 species